GACCGCGUAGCUCAAUUGGCAGAGCAUUGGGCUAGUAUUCCAAAGGUAGUAGGUUCGAUUCCCACCGUGGCCA
rnacentral:tRNA from 1 species